rnacentral:misc_RNA from 1 species
GAUGAAGAACGUAGUGAAAUGCGAUAAGUAAUGUGAAUUGCAAAUUCAGUGAAUCAUCGAGUCUUUGAACGCACAUUGCGCCCCCUGGUAUUCCGGGGGGCAUGCCUGUCCGAGCGUCAUUGCUGCCCUCAAGCACGGCUUGUGUGUUGGGCCCCGUCCUCCGAUCCCGGGGGACGGGCCCGAAAGGCAGCGGCGGCACCGCGUCCGGUCCUCGAGCGUAUGGGGCUUUGUCACCCGCUCUGUAGGCCCGGCCGGCGCUUGCCGAUCAACCCAAAUUUUUUAUCCAGGUUGACCUCGGAUCAGGUAGGGAUACCCGCUGAACUUAAGCAUAUCAAUAAGCGGAGGA